AGGGUUGUGGCUCAGUGGUAGAGUGCUUGCCUAGCAUGCGUGAGGCACUGGGUUCAAUCCUCAGCACCACAU
rnacentral:tRNA from 1 species